UAGGGAAUCUUCGGCAAUGGGGGGAACCCUGACCGAGCAACGCCGCGUGAGUGAAGAAGGUUUUCGGAUCGUAAAGCUCUGUUGUUAAGGAAGAACGAGUGUGAGAAUGGAAAGUUCAUACUGUGACGGUACUUAACCAGAAAGGGACGGCUAACUACGUGCCAGCAGCCGCGGUAAUACGUAGGUCCCGAGCGUUGUCCGGAUUUAUUGGGCGUAAAGCGAGCGCAGGCGGUUAGAUAAGUCUGAAGUUAAAGGCAGUGGCUCAACCAUUGUAGGCUUUGGAAACUGUUUAACUUGAGUGCAGAAGGGGAGAGUGGAAUUCCAUGUGUAGCGGUGAAAUGCGUAGUUAUAUGGAGGAACACCGGUGGCGAAAGCGGCUCUCUGGUCUGUAACUGACGCUGAGGCUCGAAAGCGUGGGGAGCGAACAG
rnacentral:rRNA from 1 species